rnacentral:rRNA from 1 species
ACAUUGGGACUGAGACACGGCCCAAACUCCUACGGGAGGCAGCAGUAGGGAAUCUUCCACAAUGGGCGAAAGCCUGAUGGAGCAACGCCGCGUGGGUGAAGAAGGUCUUCGGAUCGUAAAACCCUGUUGUUAGAGAAGAAAGUGCGUGAGAGUAACUGUUCACGUUUCGACGGUAUCUAACCAGAAAGCCACGGCUAACUACGUGCCAGCAGCCGCGGUAAUACGUAGGUGGCAAGCGUUAUCCGGAUUUAUUGGGCGUAAAGGGAACGCAGGCGGUCUUUUAAGUCUGAUGUGAAAGCCUUCGGCUUAACCGGAGUAGUGCAUUGGAAACUGGGAGACUUGAGUGCAGAAGAGGAGAGUGGAACUCCAUGUGUAGCGGUGAAAUGCGUAGAUAUAUGGAAGAACACCAGUGGCGAAAGCGGCUCUCUGGUCUGUAACUGACGCUGAGGUUCGAAAGCGUGGGUAGCAAACAGGAUUAGAUACCCUGGUAGUCCACGCCGUAAACGAUGAAUGCUAAGUGUUGGAGGGUUUCCGCCCUUCA